UACAGAGGUCUCAAGCGUUGUUCGGAUUCAUUGGGCGUAAAGGGUGUGUAGGUGGCGCCGUAAGUCGGGUGUGAAAUUUCGGAGCUUAACUCCGAAACUGCAUUCGAUACUGCGGUGCUUGAGGACUGGAGAGGAGACUGGAAUUCAGGUGUAGCAGUGAAAUGCGUAGAGAUCGAUGAAGGAAGACCAGUGGCGAAGGCGGGUCUGCUGGACAGUUCCUGACACUGAGGCACGAAGGCCAGGGGAGCAAACGGG
rnacentral:rRNA from 1 species